rnacentral:rRNA from 1 species
GAUGAACGCUGGCGGCGUGCCUAAUACACGCAAGUCGAGCGAACAGACGAGGAGCUUGCUCCUCUGACGUUAGCGGCGGACGGGUGAGUGACACGUGGAUAACCUACCUAUAAGACUGGGAUAACUUCGGGAAACCGGAGCUAAUACCGGAUAAUAUAUUGAACCGCAUGGUUCAAUAGUGAAAGACGGUUUUGCUGUCACUUAUAGAUGGAUCCGCGCCGCAUUAGCUAGUUGGUAAGGUAACGGCUUACCAAGGCAACGAUGCGUAGCCGACCUGAGAGGGUGAUCGGCCACACUGGAACUGAGACACGGUCCAGACUCCUACGGGAGGCAGCAGUAGGGAAUCUUCCGCAAUGGGCGAAAGCCUGACGGAGCAACGCCGCGUGAGUGAUGAAGGUCUUCGGAUCGUAAAACUCUGUUAUUAGGGAAGAACAAAUGUGUAAGUAACUAUGCACGUCUUGACGGUACCUAAUCAGAAAGCCACGGCUAACUACGUG